AAUUAUUGUAAACUCGUUACCAUCAGUAUAUAUGUACGUACUUCUGGAACAUUGCAGGUAGUUACUGGGAACUUAACUGGUUUAACUGACUGUCGACCACCCAGGAGAACAUUGAUGACGUGGAUAUACUUAAAAUGUAUGUAUUGAUGAUGAUGCGAACCAAAAAUGAAGUGUCUCAUGUUUUCACGGUUAACUUUCUUCCUAGAAUGCAAAGCAACUAGAUACGUAUCUUACUUGUCUUCAGCAAAGCUUGAGGUUAUAUUUAUGGAUUCAAGUUUUGGUGGCCAGUUAGCCUGCAACGUAUAUUUCACUUCUCUGUUCUUAGGGGGCACCCGCUAAAUAGAGACAAUCAUAGUUUUUCAUUAUUAACUGAAAGAUAAAUGAGCUCAUCCUAAUGAAAUGCUUUGAAGUUUUAUAAGAAAGUGUUUGUAAAGGUAAAUAAUACAGCUAGAAUGUGUAAUAAUUAUUUUUGACAAAUGUGUCAUUUUAAUGCUACUGAGUAAAUGUAGGUAACAGGACCCCGGAACUUUUGCUAAGUUUUUAUACCGAUAUAUUCAUCUCUAGAGGAUUUUCUAUUAUUUGUGCAGUGUUUCCAUUUGGACCAUCUCUUUGAAAUUCCCUGCCCUUGCAUGGAAGGGCAUGGAAGGAUAUCGGCUGUUAAGAUGCUGUUGGUUUGUAUAUUUUAACACUAAUCAUUCUGUGUAUUUGCCCUCAUUCUGCAAUUGAUUCCAAGCUCCCGGAAGUCAGAAACCACAUCAUACUUCCAAAUCUUGGACUUCUAAUCCCUCAUGGGAUCUAGCUCAGUCUUUUGCUUUUAAAAAGCCAGCCCUUAAGGGGCACCUGGGUGGUUCCGUCAGUUCAGUGUCCAACUCUUGAUUUUGGCUCAGGUCACGAUCUCACAACUGUGUGCCGACACCGUGGAGCCUGCUUGAGAUUCUCUCUCCCUUUCACUCUGCUCCUUUCCUGUUCUGUCCCUCUCUCUCAAAAAUAAAUAAAUAAACAUUUAAAAAGUACCUAAUAAAUAGGUACUAAAUAUUUGAUCUUUUCUUUUUGGGAACGUGUGGCUUAUUUCUUUUUAAAAAAAAUCUCACAGAUCCCAGUGACUGAUCACUCACAUUGUGGUUGUUUUGCCUCAGUGUGUUUGUCAUUUAGUGUCACCCUUCCAGGGAACACUCUGAAAUCUUUCAGUUUAUAGGUGAGCUGUGACUGUGAGCAGGGAGAGUUGGAAGCUCGACGGUUUCCUGCCAGUAAUUCUGGUUUCUGAAGGCAUGUCAGUGCUGAGUCUUUACACACCCACCCUGCUUUCCAGUAACUGAAGGGAUUUUAUUUGCCUAAAUUGGGCCGAAUACUUCACCUUGUCCUUCCUACUUGAAAGCACUUGAUCUCUGAUUUCAGUUAAGUUUGUGAGUCUUUCUCCAGUGAAAUUCUAGAAGAGGAGGUGUGUAGAACAACAGUUAGCCAUCAAACCUAGGGAAAAAUAGGACGAUCCACUGCUCUUGAACUCCUGUGAUAAACUUAAUGGUGUAAUUGUGGCACACCUCAAUAAAACAGGAAUUACUGGCAAAUCAUUUUUCUCUUUGUUUCAGAGCUUGAGAUCCCUCCUCAUAGAUUCCCAGAUAGUAAAAUUACUCUAGAAACACAUUGUCCCAGGACCAUGAAGAAAUGUUAAUUAGGAGACAAACCAUAUAAAAUCUUAGAACUUUGAUCAUCACUUGUAUUUCAUCUUCUUUCUUCUGCCAAAAUUAAAAUAAAAUUUAGUAGCCUGCUAGAAUUCUAAAAGUAAUGUGUUGCAAGUGGUAAUGGUAAGAUUUACCUUUAUUUUCAACUGCAUUUGGAACUUCCUAUAAAUAGGAAUAAACAUGAUGGUUUAACAAAGUGAAGUGAGUGGUUUUCGUGUGUUGCUUAUGCAGCUGACCUCAUUGCUUCGGCGCUACCUCUCAGAGUGAGAAAUUCUGGAACAUGUACCUGAUGAAGGCACCAAAACAUAAACCUUGCUUAUUUGGGGAGUAAUGAUAAGUGAUUUUUUUUUUCUUUUCCUCUUUGACUUUUCUGAAUUCUCCAGAUUUUCUCUCAUGCACCUUAUUGCUUUUAUCAUCUGGAUCAUACUCCUGGCAGAUGAAAUGCAAUAGACCUUUUCACAGUCAUUGUAAAGGUUUCAUGAGCCUGCUCAGGGAGGUUGGGAUCAUUCUGUAGUAGGUCAGGGACUCUUUACCUGGAUUCCUUAGAAUCUCCAGGCCUUUACACUAUGGAAUAAGAAUCUUCCCUAAAAAUUGUACCCAUGGUGUAGUGUAUGUGCAUUUACCUGGAGAGACGCCAUACAGAGGAUUCAGCAUACAAGUCUAGUGCCAUUCAGAUUCUUCUGGAUUUAUCCUGUUCAGUCUACCCAUCGUCUCCGUGGCUUGCUGCGUCCCUUUACAUCUGAACCUGAGCAUCAUAACAAGUCCUGCUCUUUAACAGAUGGCAGGAGACCUGGUAUCUUUGGCAGCUCCCUGUAAGGUGGACUGAACACCCUAGUCAGCUGGUCUACAAGUGAUGCCAAACUGGAAACUGGAACCCAAGUUCACAGGGUCGGCUUGAGAGCCAGUAAGAGAGCACUACUAUUUUCUCUUCUUUAAGAACUUGAAUUAAAAGGAAAAGAUGCUUUUUUUUUUUUUAAGUCUUCUUAGCUGUGUUUUCUCCUCCUCUCUUGGAUGAGUUGGGUGUUCAGAAGGGAGACAGUUGGCCAGCUCAUCCAGGCUCUUUUUUCAUAUAUUGACAAAUAGCCAUAAACCAAAGAAAGUUCAUUAGAAAUUAGUAGCGGUAAGGGCACUUGCAAAGCACCAGCAGUUCCUAAAUAUAAGUAAUGACUAGAAAUGAAGCAGUUUAUUAGUCAAGGGGCAAAAGAUCAUACUAGAUAAAACUCAGAAAUUCAGCGGUAUGUUACUUCUUUAAAAAAAAACAAAACAGCUUUAAUACUGGGAUAUGUGACCAAGAAUAUGGUACAUUGGGGCACCUGGGUGGCUCAUUUGGUUAAGCAUCCAUCUCUUGAUUUUGACUCGGGUCAUGAUCUCACAGUUCAUGGGUUCAAGCCCUGCGUCAGGUUCUUCGUUGAUGGUGUGGAGCCUGCUUGGCAUUCUGUCUCCCUCUCUCUCUGCCCCUCCCCUGCUCAUGCGCGCGCGCGCGCUCUCUCUCUCUCUCUCUCUCUCUCUCUC